CGGAGGAUCCAAGCGUUAUCCGGAAUCAUUGGGUUUAAAGGGUCCGUAGGCGGUUUUAUAAGUCAGUGGUGAAAUCUGGUCGCUCAACGAUCAAACGGCCAUUGAUACUGUAGAACUUGAAUUACUUGGAAGUAACUAGAAUAUGUAGUGUAGCGGUGAAGUGCUUAGAGAUUACAUGGAAUACCAAUUGCGAAGGCAGGUUACUACAAGUGGAUUGACGCUGAUGGACGAAAGCGUGGGGAGCGAACAGGAUUAGAUACCCUGGUAGUCCACGCCGUAAACGAUGGAUACUAGCUGUUCGGAGCAAUCUGAGUGGCUAAGCGAAAGUGAUAGGUAUCCCACCUGGGGAGUACGAACGCAAGUUUG
rnacentral:rRNA from 1 species